CCUGGCUCAGAUGAACGCUGGCGGCGUGCUUAACACAUGCAAGUCGAACGCGAAAGGGACUCGGUCCUGAGUAAAGUGGCGCACGGGUGAGUAACGCGUGGAUAAUCUGCCCUAUGAUCGGGAUAACAGUUGGAAACGGCUGCUAAUACCGGAUACGCUCAAAAUGAACUUUUUGAGGAAAGAUGGCCUCUGCUUGCAUGCUAUCACGUAAGGAUGAGUCCGCGUCCCAUUAGCUUGUUGGCGGGGUAACGGCCCACCAAGGCGACGAUGGGUAGCCGAUUUGAGAGGAUGAUCGGCCACACUGGAACUGAAACACGGUCCAGACUCCUACGGGAGGCAGCAGUGGGGAAUAUUGCGCAAUGGGCGAAAGCCUGACGCAGCGACGCCGCGUGAGGGAUGAAGGUUUUCGGAUCGUAAACCUCUGUCAGAAGGGAAGAAACUUACGUUGUGCUAAUCAGCAGCGUACUGACGGUACCUUCAAAGGAAGCACCGGCUAACUCCGUGCCAGCAGCCGC
rnacentral:rRNA from 1 species